GCAUCGGUGGUUCAGUGGUAGAAUACUCGCCUGCCACGCAGGCGACCCAGGUUCGAUUCCCGGCCGAUGCA
rfam:Ancylostoma ceylanicum strain HY135 Acey_s0013_scaf, whole genome shotgun sequence.